rnacentral:lncRNA from 1 species
CAAGCAAUUCUCCUGCCUUGGCCUCCCAAAGUACUGGGUUUACAGGUGUGAGCCACUGUGCCCAGCUCUCAUACCUCGUCUUGAUGCAGUAGAAGUAGUGGUUAAGCCUGGAAUCAGAUCUUGGUUUUCCCUCUCUGAGCCUCAGUUUCCUCAUCUGUAGAGUAGACUUCCUUCACGGGUGGUUGUGAGGAUUUAAUGUAUGUAUAGGGAUAAGGCCCAGAACGUAAGUAAACUCUAAGUACAUGGUAAGUGGCAGUCACUGCUUACAAGUGGAGCCAGGGUUCAGGGUCAGAGCUAGAGACCUACAGGGAAGAGUAGGUGAGCUGUCGGGGCUAGUGAUGGAGAGAGAGAAGAGACUGGAGAUCCAGCUUGGGGAUCCCCUUGCUUCCUGGCCCAGGAGCCACCAUGGAGAGUGAGAAGCUGCCAGAGAAGCAGGAGGAGGAUGGAGAGAAUGUGCUACCAUGGAAACUGGAGGAGGAGGGCGUUCCCAGGAGGAGGGAGUGAUGGAUAAUGUCAAGUGUCAUAAGAGAGGAUGCGAGUAGGGAGGGCAGGAGGGUGAUGGGAGCUCUCCAAUUUAGUUUUUUACAUGGCCCAGGCAGCCCCCAAGCCUGGAUCAAAUCCCAGCUCUCAAGCUAACUGGCUGUGUGACCUAGACAAGGGAUUUGCCUUCUCUGAGCUUCAGUUUCCUUCUAGAGUUGAGAUGUGGGAAUUGGUCCAUCUCUAAUACGAUCAUCAGCCUCACUUAAUAAGAGUCCUAGCUUUGCCGAAUUCUUGGCCACGUGCUAGCAGUGUGAUCUUAGGCAAGUCACUUCACCUCCACGAGAGCACUCUCUGAAAGCUAGAGAUAUGGUAAGCAAAGUGCCACCAAAGUGCCUGGCACAUAGUGGGGCCUCGAUACAGGCUUAUUCUCUGAUAAUUACACGUGUGCCAGAGGCAGCUGCUCUAAGGAGGCUUGCUGGGCUUGGAAUUAGAAAUGCUCCUCAAGGGCUGGGAUUACAGGCAUGAGCCACCGUGCCCAGCCCAACCCAUGGUUCUUAAUGCUGCAGGUGGGUCCGGAGAAAGGCUUUUCUCUUUUAACCAUCUCCUUGAAUUUCAGAAGGUGGGACAACAUGUGCUGGAAAGCAGUUCUUAAGAGGACAUCUUUUCCCAAGCUCCUUAGCCUUAGCUGUCCUCUCCUGCCCUCACCAGGACUGCCCUCUCAGGGACCCAAGAGGAAGGGACAGCCUGGAAAGGAAGAAGGUCCCGGGCCAUCUGCGUCAUGGGGAUGGAGUCCCUUGGCGUGUGCCGGUGCAAAUACACUCCUGUAACGGGGCUCAUCUAGAAUCUCCUCUCGGAAUGAGGAGACCGCAAAUGUGGUUUUGAAUCUUCAUUGUCCACUUCAUUGCUGUGGUGUUGGGCAGGUCUCUGUCCCUCUCUGGGCCUCUGCACGAUGGAGGGGUAGGAGUUGAUGGUUCUGAAGGCUCUGCCAUCCUGGAAAAGAACUGAGACACUUCCCUCAUGUUCCUGGGUCCCAGAAACAGACAUCUGUUGGUAAAAUCUACUGGGCAUUUGCCCAGAGACAGGGAAAAGAAUGCCUGGGGGUCUGUAAUAGGAGCUGCCCCAAUUAGGGGCAGGGAGGCGGGCAUGUAAAAAAGGAAGCUUAAAGCUUUGUUUUCAGGCUUUUUGCCUACCCCAGGCUCCAUCUUGGUACCAAGUACUCAACCUUCUGUUUUCUCAAUAAAGUGAGCCCUCUUCUCGGUGUCUGCA